CCCCUGGAGUCACACACGGGCUGAGAGAGGCUGCCCAGGGGCAGCCCUUGCUCGGGGGCCAGAAGGGACUAGGCUGCCUUCAGUUCAGCCUCUGAAGGUCCGCAGGCCCCUCCAGGCCGAGAGCGAGGGGCAGGGACCCCACGCAGAAGCCAGGCACUUGGCAAGCUGCCUUCCAGCC